rnacentral:rRNA from 1 species
UACGAAGGGGGCUAGCGUUGCUCGGAAUCACUGGGCGUAAAGCGCACGUAGGCGGCUUUUAAGUCAGGGGUGAAAUCCUGGAGCUCAACUCCAGAACUGCCUUUGAUACUGAGAGCUUGAGUCCGGGAGAGGUGAGUGGAACUGCGAGUGUAGAGGUGAAAUUCGUAGAUAUUCGCAAGAACACCAGUGGCGAAGGCGGCUCACUGGCCCGGUACUGACGCUGAGGUGCGAAAGCGUGGGAGCAACAGGGAUAAGAUACCCCGUGUACG